CACGGGGGGAGCAAGCGUUGUUCGGAAUCACUGGGCGUAAAGAGCGCGCAGGCGGUCGUGCAAGUCGCGUGUGAAAGCCCCCGGCUCAACUGGGGAGGGUCACGCGAUACUGCUCGACUCGAAGGCAGGAGAGGGAAGUGGAAUUCCCGGUGUAGUGGUGAAAUGCGUAGAUAUCGGGAGGAACACCAGUGGCGAAGGCGACUUCCUGGCCUGUUCUUGACGCUGAGGCGCGAAAGCUAGGGUAGCAAACGGG
rnacentral:rRNA from 1 species